rnacentral:rRNA from 1 species
CAUUGAUGCCAUGCUUCCAGGAAAAGCCUCUAAGCUUCAGAUUGUAAGGAAUCGUACCCCAAACCGACACAGGUGGUCGGGUAGAGAAUACCAAGGCGCUUGAGAGAACUCGGGUGAAGGAACUAGGCAAAAUGGUACCGUAACUUCGGGAGAAGGUACGCUCUUGAUGGUGAAGUCCCUCGCGGAUGGAGCUGACGAGAGUCGCAGAUACCAGGUGGCUGCAACUGUUUAUUAAAAACACAGCACUGUGCAAAAUCGUAAGAUGACGUAUACGGUGUGACGCCUGCCCGGUGCCGGAAGGUUAAUUGAUGGGGUUAGACUUCGGUCGAAGCUCUUGAUCGAAGCCCCGGUAAACGGCGGCCGUAACUAUAACGGUCCUAAGGUAGCGAAAUUCCUUGUCGGGUAAGUUCCGACCUGCACGAAUGGCGUAAUGAUGGCCACGCUGUCUCCACCCGAGACUCAGUGAAAUUGAAAUCGCUGUGAAGAUGCAGUGUACCCGCGGCUAGACGGAAAGACCCCGUGAACCUUUACUACAGCUUGGCACUGAACAUUGACCCUACAUGUGUAGGAUAGGUGGGAGGCUUUGAAGCACGUACGCCAGUAUGUGUGGAGCCGUCCUUGAAAUACCACCCUUGUAGUGUUGAUGUUCUAACGUCGACCCCUUAUCGGGGUUGCGGACAGUGCCUGGUGGGUAGUUUGACUGGGGCGGUCUCCUCCCAAAGAGUAACGGAGGAGCACGAAGGUGGGCUAAUCACGGUUGGACAUCGUGAGGUUAGUGCAAUGGCAUAAGCCCGCUUGACUGCGAGAAUGACAAUUCGAGCAGGUGCGAAAGCAGGUCAUAGUGAUCCGGUGGUUCUGAAUGGAAGGGCCAUCGCUCAACGGAUAAAAGGUACUCCGGGGAUAACAGGCUGAUACCGCCCAAGAGUUCAUAUCGACGGCGGUGUUUGGCACCUCGAUGUCGGCUCAUCACAUCCUGGGGCUGAAGUCGGUCCCAAGGGUAUGGCUGUUCGCCAUUUAAAGUGGUACGCGAGCUGGGUUUAGAACGUCGUGAGACAGUUCGGUCCCUAUCUGCCGUGGGCGUUGGAAGAUUGAAGGGGGCUGCUCCUAGUACGAGAGGACCGGAGUGGACGAACCUCUGGUGUUCGGGUUGUGUCGCCAGACGCAUUGCCCGGUAGCUAAGUUCGGAAUCGAUAACCGCUGAAAGCAUCUAAGCGGGAAGCGAGCCCUGAGAUGAGUCUUCCCUGAUACUUUAAGUAUCCUAAAGGGUUGUCGGAGACUACGACGUUGAUAGGUCAGGUGUGUAAGUGCUGUGAGGCAUUGAGCUAACUGAUACUAAUUGCCCGUGAGGCUUAACCAUACAACACCCAAGGGGUUU